rnacentral:lncRNA from 1 species
UAAUUAGUGAGAACUCUUAUUUUACUAAGUUACUAGUGUAGUGAUUAGUUUUUACCGUUAGUGACCGUUGGUUACAUUUUACCGUUAUUAAUUAAAAUAUCGUUUGGAGUGUAGUAAUAUUUUUGGUUUGAAUAGAAAUGGAUUAAGCCCACUAGAAACUAAGUUAAGCCCAUUAGUGGAGAUAACACUAGGGUUGUGUUAGAAGAAUCAAUUCAUUCAUUUCACAAAAAUAUUUCUAGAGAGAGGUAGAGAGAGAAAGAGGUGAAGAGAAGAGCAAAAGGGUUUUGCAGAGAAGAGCUUUAGGAAUCAAGUGGGUGACUUAGGAGCUGAAUUAAAGUAAGAGUUUGGGUUAAUCUUCUUCUAAGACGUUGUGCAGGAGUAGUGCUCGGUGAGUCUUUCCGUGGGAUAUCGGGAGCUUUCUCCGAUAUCGGGUUGUGUCGGCUCUGAUCUAGGCUUGUCGUGUCGGUCUAGAUUAGGUUGUUUGUAUCUUCCGUUGGAUUAUGAUUUUGUUGAUGACUACCCGUAUGUUUGGGUUUUGAGAUUUAUCUUUGAGACAUGAUUUAUUUGUUCAUGGCAUGUAUAUAUUUGAUCACUCUGAUUUGUAUUCCGUUGUAACUGUUGAGACGUAA